rnacentral:rRNA from 1 species
CUGUACAGUUCAGAGUUUGAUCCUGGCUCAGGACGAACGCUGGCGGCGUGCCUAACACAUGCAAGUCGAACGGAUGUAUUUCUUCGGUAGAUACGUUAGUGGCGAACGGGUGAGUAACGCGUGAGAAACCUGCCUUUCAGUGGGGGACAACAGUUGGAAACGACUGCUAAUACCGCAUAAUGUUAUUUGAGGGCAUCCUCGGAUAACCAAAGCUUAAUGUGCUGAAAGAUGGUCUCGCGUCUGAUUAGCUAGUUGGUGAGGUAACGGCUCACCAAGGCGACGAUCAGUAGCCGGCCUGAGAGGAUGAACGGCCACAUUGGGACUGAGAUACGGCCCAG